rnacentral:rRNA from 1 species
UAGUCCACGCCGUAAACGAUGGAUACUAGGUGUCCGGGAAGUUAACCUCCUGGGUACUACAGCUAACGCGUUAAGUAUCCCGCCUGGGGAGUACGGUCGCAAGGCUAAAACUCAAAGGAAUUGACGGGGGCCCGCACAAGCGGUGGAGUAUGUGGUUUAAUUCGAAGCAACGCGCAGAACCUUACCUACCCUUAACAUUUCACGCUCGCCUCAGAGAUGAGGUUUUCUCUUCGGAGACGUGAGGAUAGGUGCUGCAUGGCUGUCGUCAGCUCGUGUCGUAAGAUGUCUGGUUAAGUCCCGCAACGAGCGCAACCCCUAUUGUUAGUUGCCAGCGAGUAAUGUCGGGGACUCUAACGAGACUGCCCGCGUAAGCGGAGAGGAAGGUGGGGACGACGUCAAAUCAUCAUGGCCUUUAUGCCUAGGGCUACACACGUGCUACAAUGGCAGGUACAGAGGGUUGCGAAGGGGUGACCUGGAGCUAAUCUCAGAAAGCCUGUCCCAGUUCGGAUUGGAGUCUGC